AAUUUUGAAAGUUUUAAUUGUGUUUGUAAAUUUUUUGUGGAGUAAAAUUUUAAAAGCGAAGAAGUUUCUGACAUGUAUCUUAAAGGCGGCUGUCUUAUUUAAAGGAAUACGUUUCAAAUCUAUGUAACGAAAAAGUUAAAAUCCUAUGUGAACAAACUUUUCUUCGUGACUACAAAAUUCAAAAUUAAUUCGUUUUAAAUACAAAUCAGAAGGUAUUUUCCAAUACACCACACUUGGACAUAUAUUUUUGGAGAAAUAUAUGCGCAGCUGGAACCGCAACAUUAAUUGCAAAGUGAGAGAUACAUUUCAAGGCUAACUGCGAUUGCAGAAUUAUCGCUGAAGAAGAAGAAGAAAAAACACAAUGGUUGAAAUGCCAACAACAUGCCCCAUUUGUAGGGAUUUACUGAAAACUCCAAUCAAAACCAAAUGUGGUCAUAUUUUUUGCCAUUGUUGUUUUUUACAAGUAAAGCGCUUUAACAAGGGACGCACCCUAAGAUGUCCAUUAUGUCGUCAAGUACUUAAAGCUGCUAAAAAGCCUCAUUAUAGGCGUGAUGAGCCCAGAUUUGACUUCAUGUUCUGGAAUCAGAGAGUUUGAAUAUGAUGUCAAUUGUGCUUUCUAUGCUGAUGUUCUUUGCUGGUUCGACUGAUGAAAUUCGUCGCUUGGUGGUGUUUUUGGGGACUUGUCUGUUGUAACUGAUGAGUUAGCUGGUUUCCCUAUUAUUUAGGUUCAAAUGUUUUAAAUGUUUAUUUUUUAAAUCAGUUAACUAUAUAAAUAUAAUAAAUGCGUAUCUUUACAUACACAAUA